GAUCCUGGCUUAGGACGAACGCUGGCGGCGUGCUUAACACAUGCAAGUCGAACGAUGAAGCUGGUGCUUGCACUGGUGGAUUAGUGGCGAACGGGUGAGUAACACGUGAGUAACCUGCCCCUGACUCUGGGAUAACUGCUGGAAACGGUAGCUAAUACUGGAUAUGAACCGUACGGGCAUCUGUUGCGGUUGGAAAGAUUUUUCGGCUGGGGAUGGGCUCGCGGCCUAUCAGUUUGUUGGUGGGGUAGUGGCCUACCCAAGACGACGACGGGUAGCCGGCCUGAGAGGGUGACCGGCCACAUUGGGACUGAGACACGGCCCAGACUCCUACGGGAGGCAGCAGUGGGGAAUAUUGCACAAUGGGGGAAACCCUGAUGCAGCAACGCCGCGUGAGGGAUGACGGCCUUCGGGUUGUAAACCUCUUUUGGCAGGGAAGAAGCGAGAGUGACGGUACCUGCAGAAAAAGCGCCGGCUAACUACGUGCCAGCAGCGGC
rnacentral:rRNA from 1 species